UACGUAGGGUGCAAGCGUUGUCCGGAAUUAUUGGGCGUAAAGAGCUCGUAGGCGGUCUGUCGCGUCUGCUGUGAAAACUCAGGGCUUAACCCUGAGCUUGCAGUGGGUACGGGCAGACUAGAGUGCGGUAGGGGAGACUGGAAUUCCUGGUGUAGCGGUGAAAUGCGCAGAUAUCAGGAGGAACACCGGUGGGCGAAGGCGGGUCUCUGGGCAAUAAACUGACGCUGGAGGGAGCGAAAAGCGUGGGGGAGCGAAACAGG
rnacentral:rRNA from 1 species